AUACUCAUCUGGCAGGGGAGAUGCCAUAAUCACAAAAAGGGUAUUCCCAGGGUGAGGCUUCUCCAGUGCACUCCUGAUGUGUUGACCCCUCAAUUUCCCCAAAUGUGGGAAACUGGACUGCACAAUUUGUGGUAGCAGGGGACCACACUCACCCUCUC